AUUGAACGCUGGCGGCAGGCCUAACACAUGCAAGUCGAGCGGAGCGGCGGACGGGUGAGUAAUGCCUAGGAAUCUGCCUGGUAGUGGGGGAUAACGUCCGGAAACGGGCGCUAAUCCCGCAUCCUAUCAGAUGGGCCUAGGUCGUAUUAUCUAGUUGGUGGGGUACAGGCCUACCAAGGCGACGAACCGUACCUGGUCUGAGAGGUUGAUCAGUCACACUGGAACGGAGACACGGUCCAGACUCCGACGGGAGGCAGCAGUGGGGAAUAUUGGACAAUGGGCGAAAGCCUGAUCCAGCCAUGCCGCGUGUGUGAAGAAGGUCUUCGGAUUGUAAAGCACUUUAAGUUGGGAGGCGGUACAAAAAGAAUAAGCACCGGCUAACUUCGUGCCAGCAGCCGCGGUAAUAG
rnacentral:rRNA from 1 species